AAGUCUCUAUCGUUUCUUACGGUAAAGAGAAACCAGCAGUUCUGGGCCACACAGAAGAUGCAUACGCGAAAAACCGUCGCGCAGUGCUGGUUUACUAAUAAGGAUAUUGCAUGAACCGUAACUACAGA
rnacentral:sRNA from 1 species